GCCCGGACGGCCCGGGCCGGAGGGGGCGCGGAGCCGGCCGGUGGCGGCCGCCCUGCCGGCUCGGCCUGGGCCCGGCGGUGGCGGGGAGCGCCGCGAAGCGUCCCCGCCCGGCUCCUUCCUCCCGCCUCUCGCGGCCCGUCCGUGCCGCAGCGCCGCCCCCGGCUCCGCCCGCCGCCGCAGCCCCUCGCGGUAACGGUCGGGAGCGGCCCGCGCGCGCCGCCCGCCGGGGCCCCGCGCCAGCCACGAGGGAGCGUCCGCGGCCCGCGCGCCCGCGCCGCGGAAGGUGAUAAGUAUGAUGCUUCCAUAAUACAUUUGGAGGUUUUCGGCUAAGUUCGCUUCUGAAGUGUGGGGUUCCUCUAAGUGUUGGCUGAAAUUUGUCCUUGCAUAUCUCCAGGCUCAUCUACAAAAUCUACAGUUCAUAAUGGAGCUACUGUACUGGCUGUUGGAAGGAGGAGAUUCUGAAGAUAGGGAGAUUCAGCUAUCGGUCUUUGAAAUUUCCUGUGGUCUGUGCAAUCUAGAUGCAAAGGACAUGGAAAAGUCAAGUGCUCAAGUGGUUUAAAUAUGUUUUGGAUGUUCCUAUUUAUAGACUGCAGUAUUUUUCCAAUUAAAAUCCUCAGUUGUCGUGCAAAAAAAGGUUAUGUUUUUCUUGAUCACCAAUUUUAUUUGAAAUGCUUAGUACUGUAGAGUAUCACUAAACAUCUUUUGUUUUAAUUAAAGUAUAGAAAAAAUAAAAUCAAUUUUAUAUGUUGA